CACAAUAGUAUGACAUUGGAAAUGUUUAUCUCUGUUUAGCAUUUUUCUUGUGUGUCUGGUGGUGAGUCUCAUUUGGUGAGACCCCUGUUAUCCAUUUUCUCCUGUUUCUUUUCCACAGUCCCAGUAGACAUUGAUGCCGUCAUUGACCUACAAAUCCCAGUCUCCAUUACACCAUCAAAUAUCUUUGAUAUAUUCAGGAAUGCUCUGAGAAACCUUUCUUUCCCCUUCGCCAUCAAUGAGUAUUUACAAGUAACCAGUGUAAAUUUCACAACAGAGUGCUAUCCAAACACCACCGGAGAUCUGCAGUGUCAGUGUGAGCCGCAGUUCGCUUGGCCAUGCAGCAAGUGUAGAUACUAUAAUGCAUGCAGUACUGACAUGCAGUUUGACAUUUUACAAACCUGUGGAUGCUUAAAUACACUUCCUUAUGAUGGACAGUUCUGUAAACCAAUCACAAGUAAGCAUUGAUGCUGUGUAGCUGCAACAGAAAAAUAAAUCAACAUGUGUUUUUGAAUGUGUUAAAUUGUCAGUUAAGCAAAAAUUCAUGUUUUAUGUUAUAUAAUGCUAAUUUUAAUGAAAGGUUUGAUGUUUUUCUAGACCUAAAUAUGUGAUGAAAAUAUUUUUUAAUACUCCUCAGGUGUCAGUAUAUGUCCAACAUCAACUACAGGUAUAAAAGACUCAUUUAUUAUAGUAAAAAUAUUUUUUACAUUAAACAGACAUUUAAAAUAUAUUACAAAUUUUAAUAAAGUUAGUUUAGCUGAUUAAUAUACAUAUUUUUUAACAACAGCUCCACCAUCAUCUUCAACACCUAAUAGUAUGUAAAGCAUUAAUGUCUCUUUGCAUAUCAUUCUGAAUUUUGAAUAAAGAAAAACGUAUACCUCUUUAACUAGUAAAAGUCCUGAUGAUAUUUGUCAUUAACAGUAACCACAACAACAACAACGCUAGAAACAACAACUACAGAAAUGACACCUACAAAAACAACACCAAAUGGUAAGACACAUGAAAUGUAGUUAUACAGCUCUUGGAAUAUCUGUUUAUAACUCCCAUACUGUCUUAUUAACACUUAACAAAACACAAAGACGACAGAGUCUGAUGCAAGUCUCGGUUGAGUAGGUUUUACUUGAGCAAGGAAUCAAAAUAAUACAACUGGGUCACAAAAGCUCACC
rnacentral:lncRNA from 1 species